GCUGGGCACGGUGGCUUGUGCCUGUAAUCCAAGCGCCGGGGAGGCUGAGGCUGGCGGACGGCUUGAGCCCGGGGGUUCUGGGCUGCAGGGAGCUGUGCCGAGCGGGCGUCCGCGCUAAGGCCGGCAUCGAUAUGGUGGUCCUGGGGGAGCCGGGGGCCACCAGGUCGCUUAAGGAGGGGUGAACCGGCCCAGGUCGGAGACGGAGCAGGUCAAAGCUCCCGUGGCGGUCAGUAGCGGGAUGGCACCUGUGAACAGUCCCUGUAGCACAGCCUGGGCGAGAGAGUGGGACCCAGCCUCUU
rnacentral:SRP_RNA from 1 species